AUGUCGAGGCCAGCAUCGAGGACGCCCGUCUUACCAGCUUCGCCUUCGCCACCAUGCCGACUACGGCGGAGAAGAUGGCGCCGUCGUCUUUCUUGGCCUACAACAUCUCUGUCGCCAUCAGCAUUCACAACCCAACCUGGGGGACCGUCAAGCACACCAAGCCUCUGGUCGCCGCCAUCACCUUCCACGACAACAGCCUGCUCAACGUCUCGGUCGCCGGCGAGGGCCACAAGUACCGGCCGAGCAAGAAAGAGGUGCACCUCCUGCACGAAAGCGGCAAGGUCCCUUGGGAUGCGCUCGGCAGUGCGGCCUUGGAGGACUUCAAGCAGGAGAACAAGACGGGCGUGUUCACGGUGGAGGUGCGCCUCUCCGGGGAGAUCACCUACCUGGGACUUGAUAAUGUUGUUACCCGAAACAAGCGGAACCUUGGCUUCAGCUGCCAGCUCAGUCUGCAGCUAG
rnacentral:rRNA from 1 species